UAAUCAGUUUCGUGUGUUUGGAGAAGAAGAAGAACAGAUCAAAUACGAGGAGAGAUCUCUAAAGAGAUUUAUCGUUUCAAGUAAGUCUCUUUAUCAAACUCUUAAUAUAAACAAAUCAAAACAUGAACACGUCGUGUCUUCG
rnacentral:sRNA from 1 species